UUUAGAUGGGUGGCUGCUGAUAGUGUUUUGUUAUUGGAAAUGAUUUAGUUUAUAGGGAAUUACCGUUCAUUCGUAGUUUGAUUAAUUGUGGUGAUAGAAAUAUACUGCUAUCUGAAUUUUAGUUUUUGGGAUGUAAUUUGCUUGCAAUGACUUUGGAUCUUUUAUAUGUUUCUCGUUUAUUUUGGGUAUGCAGCCGCCUUUGGAAUGUAAUGGACAACUAAUUGUUGCCAUCUAAUCUAGUAUUUCUAGCUUUUGUGCAUAUAUUCGCAAUUGUGAAUUAGCUACUUUCUUAAAACACGUGAAUUUGCUCUGCGAUGUAGCGACACUCUUCACAAAUACUACUAAUCUUAAAAUGUUUUCGUAAUGUUUAAAUGAUUUUGCUAUAAAUAGGUGAUUUUGCUAUAAAUAGGUGAUCGGAUAUCUCUAUUUAUCUUUUUAUAUAAAAGAGGGUAACCGUCUCUCAAUUAGGAAGAAACAUUUUUGUUAUAUUUUUUCAUUUCUAAAAUUCUCAAUGUAGUUUUGUUGACAUGCCCCUUCCGUGUCUAUUAUGCUAUGCUCUAAUAUUAUGUACGCCUGAAUUAACUGAAAUGCAAUAGUUACCCUUUAUCAAUUAUUGAGGGUUUAAUACUCAGACUAACUCUAGGUACAUGCAACCUUUAAUGGAUGUUUCAUUUGUAUACGUAUAAGACGUAUAAUGUACUCAACUCUAGGUAAAUGAGCCUCUGGUGGAUGUCUCGUUUGCAUAAAUUAUUUGUAAGACAUGAAUUGUGUACCAAAAGUUUUGUAUGCAAGUUAUGUUAUGAUUGGCUGUGAAACACAUUUGUAGCUUCCCAUGGAGAAUGCAUAGUAAGAAAAUUUACUCUGAAUUUGAGUUGAAGGUGUUGUCUGAUUGUAUGUGCCAAUUUGUCGAGGCAUCAUAAUAGUAUCAAAAUUUAGCCGCAUAUAUCAUAUAAUAUAUGAGUGGCAAUUCAAAGUCUAGAAUUGCACUCAAGAUGAUAAAAUCACUGAGGCAUCCAAACACUUGCAACAUUUAUGGGACAAAUAAUAUCCAUCAGUUCCUUUUGAGUUGAGUCAUCGAGGCAUCAUAAUAGUAUCAAAAUUUAGCCACAUAUAUCAUAUAAUAUAUGAGUAACAAUUCAAAGCCUAGAAUUGCACUCAAGAUGAUAAAAUCACUUAGGCAUCCAAACAAUUGCAACAUUUAUGGCACAAAUAAUAUCCAUAAAUUCCUUUCGAGUCAUCGAGGCAUCAUAAUAGUAUCAAAAUUUAGGCCCAUAUAUCAUAUAAUAUGAGUGACAAUUCAUAGUCUAGAAUUGCACAAGGCCGAGGCAUCCAAACAUUUUAACAGUUAUGGAACAAAUAAUAUCCAUUAAUUUCUUUCAGUCAUCGAGGCAUUUAUUAAUGUAUAAAAAUUCAUAUCAAUAUCACAUUUUAGGCAUCAAAAAACAAAUUUGCAACAUUUACGGGAUAAAUAAUAUCCAUCAAUUCCUUUCGGGUCAUUGAGACAUCAUAAUAGUUUCAAAGUUUAUGAGUGACAAUUCAUAGUCUAGACUUGCACUCAAGAUCAUAAAAUCACCAAAGCAUCCCAAAAUUGAAUUGUUCACAGUGUUUCCUUUAGGGUCAUCGAGGCAUCCAAGCACUUGUAACAUUUUUAAAACAAACAAUAUCCAUUAAUUUAUUUUCGGUCAUCGAGGCAUUUAUGAAUGAAUAAAUAUUCAUAUCAAUAUCACAUUUAAGGCAACAAGGCAUAAUGUUUGCUUUAGAGUCAUCGAGGCAUCCAAACACUUGCAACAUUUACAGGACAAAUAAUAUCCAUCAAUUCCUUUCGGGUCAUCGAGACAUUAUAAUAGUAUCAAAAUUUACGCCCAUAUAUCAUAUAAUAUGAGUGACAAUUCAUAGUCUAGAAUUGCACUCAAGAUGAUAAAAUCACAGAGGCAUCCAAACAGUUAACAUUUAUUGGAAAAAUAAUAUCCAUCAAUUCAUUUCAGGUCAUCGAGGCAUCAUAAUAGUUUCAAAAUUUAGCCACAUAUAUCAUAUAAUAUAUGAGUGACAAUUCAUAUUCUAAAAUUGCACUCAAGAUGAUAAAAUCACCGAGGCACCCAAACACUUGCAACAUUUAUGGGACAAAUAAUAUCCAUCAGUUCCUUUCGAGUUGAGUCAUGGAGGCAUCAUAAUAGUAUCAAAAUUUAGCCGCAUAUAUCAUAUAAUAUAUGGGUGACAAAUAAUAUCCAUCAAUUCCUUUCGAGUCAUCGAGGCAUCAUAAUAGUAUCAAAAUUUAGGCCCAUAUAUCAUAUAAUAUGAGUGACAAUUCAUAGUCUAGAAUUGCACAAGGCCGAGGCAUCCAAACACUUUAACAGUUAUGGAACAAAUAAUAUCCAUUAAUUCCUUUCGGUCAUCGAGACAUUUAUUAAUGUAUAAAAAUUCAUAUCAAUAUCACAUUUUAGGCAUCGAGGCAUAAUGUUUGCUUUAGGGUCACCGAUGCAUCAUAAUACACACUUGCAACAUUUACGGGACAAAUAAUAUCCAUCAAUUCCUUUCGGGUCAUUGAGGCAUCAUAAUAGUUUUAAAGUUUAUGAGUGACAAUUCAUAGUCUAGACUUGCACUCAAGAUCAUAAAAUCACCAAAGCAUCCCAAUAUUUACAAAAUUGAAUUGUUCAUAGUGUUUCCUUUAGGGUCAUCGAGGCAUCCAAACACUUGCAACAUUUUUAAAACAAACAAUAUCCAUUAAUUUCUUAUGGGUCAUCGAGGCAUUAUGAAUGAAUAAAAAUUCAUAUCAAUAGAACAUUUAAGGCAACAAGGCAUACUGUUUGCUUUAGGGUCAUCGAGACAUCCAAACACUUGCAACAUUUACGGGAGAAAUAAUAUCCAUCAAUUCCUUUCGGGUCAUCGAGGCAUCAUAAUAGUAUCAAAAUUUAAGCCCUAUAUCAUAUAAUAUGAGUGACAAUUCAUAGUCUAAAAUUGCACUCAAGAUGAUAAAAUCACUGAGGCAUCCAAACAUAACAUUUAUUGGAAAAAUAAUAUCCAUCAAUUCCUUUCGGGUCAUCGAGACAUCAUAAUAGUUUCAAAAUUUAGCCGCAUAUAUCAUAUAAUAUAUGAGUGACAAUUCAUAUUCUAGAAUUGCACUCAAGAUAAUAAAAUCACCGAGGCAUCCAAGCACUUGCAACAUUUAUGGGACAAAUAAUAUCCAUCAGUUCCUUUCGAGUUGAGUCAUCGAGGCAUCAUAAUAGUAUCAAAAUUUAGCCGCAUAUAUCAUAUAAUAUAUGAGUGACAAAUAAUAUCCAUCAAUUCCUUUCGAGUCAUCGAGGCAUCAUAAUAGUAUUAAAAUUUAGGCCUAUAUAUCAUAUAAUACGAGUGACAAUUCAUAGUCUAGAAUUGCACAAGGCUGAGGCAUCCAAACACUUAACAGUUAUGGGACAAAUAAUAUCCAUUAAGUCCUUUCGGUCAUCGAGGCAUUUAUUAAUGUAUAAAAAUUCAUAUCAAUAUCACAUUUUAGGCAUCGAGGCAUAAUGUUUGCUUUAGGGUCACAGAUGCAUCAAAAUACACACGUGCAACAUUUACGGGACAAAUAAUAUCCAUUAAUUCCUUUCGGGUCAUUGAGGCAUCAUAAUAGUUUUAAAGUUUAUGAAUGACAAUUCAUAGUCUAGACUUGCACUCAAGAUCAUAAAAUCACCAAAGCAUCCCAAUAUAUACAAAAUUGAAUUGUUCAUAGUGUUUCCUUUAGGGUCAUCCAGACAUCCAAGCACUUGAACCAUUUUUAAAACAAACAAUAUCCAUUAAUUUCUUUUGGGUCAUCGAGACAUUAUCAAUGAACAAAAAUUCAUAUCAAUAUCACAUUUAAGGCAACAAGGCAUAAUGUUUGCUUUAGGGUCAUCGAGCCAUCCAAACCCGUGCAACAUUUACGGGACAAAUAAUAUCGAUCAAUUCCAUUCGGGUCAUCGAGGCAUCAUAAUAGUAUCAAAAUUUAAGCCCAUAUAUCAUAUAAUAUGAGUGACAAUUCAUAGUCUAGAAUUGCACUCAAGAUGAUAAAAUCACAAAGGCAUCCAAACACUUAACAUUUAUUGGAAAAAUAAUAUCCAUCAAUUCAUUUCGGGUCAUCGAGGCAUCAUAAUAGUUUCAAAAUUUAGCCACAUAUAUCAUAUAAUAUAUGACUGACAAUUCAUAUUCUAGAAUUGCACUCAUGAUGAUAAAAUCGCCGAGGCACCCAAACACUUGCAACAUUUAUGGGACAAAUAAUAUCCAACAGUUCCUUUCGAGUUGAGUCAUCGAGGCAUCAUAAUAGUAUCAAAAUUUAGCCGUAUAUAUCAUAUAAUAUAUGAGUGAUAAAUAAUAUCCAUCAAUUCCUUUCGCGUCAUCGAGGCAUCAUAAUAGUAUCAAAAUUUAGGCCCAUAUAUCAUAUAAUAUGAGUGACAAUUCAUAGUCUAGAAUUGCACAAGGUCGAGGCAUCCAAACACUUAACAGUUAUGGGACAAAUAAUAUCCAUUAAGUCCUUUCGGUCAUUGAGGCAUUUAUUAAUGUAUAAAAAUUCAUAACAAUAUCACAUUUUAGGCAUCGAGGCAUAAUAUUUGCUUUAGGGUCACCGAUGCAUCAAAAUACAAACUUGCAACAUUUACGGGACAAAUAAUAUCCAUCAAUUCCUUUCGGGUCAUUGAGACAUCAUAAUAGUUUCAAAGUUUAUGAGUGACAAUUCAUAGUCUAGACUUGUACUCAAGAUCAUAAAAUCACCAAAGCAUCCCAAUAUUUACAAAAUUGAAUUGUUCACAGUGUUUCCUUUAGGGUCAUCGAGGCAUCCAAGCACUUGUAACAUUUUUAAAACAAACAAUAUCCAUUAAUUUCUUUUGGGUCAUCGAGGCAUUUAUGAAUGAAUAAAAAUUCAUAUCAAUAUCACAUUUAAGGCAAAAAGGCAUAAUGUUUGCUUUAGGGUCAUCGAGGCAUCCAAACACUUCCAACAUUUACGGGACAAAUAAUAUCCAUCAAUUCCUUUCGGGUCAUUGAGAUAUCAUAAUAGUAUCAAAAUUUAGCCGCAUAUAUCAUAUAACACAUGAGUGAAAUUUCAAAGUCUAGAAUUGCACUCAAGAUGAUAAAAUAACCAAGGCAACCAAACAUUUGCCACAUUUAUGGGACAAAUAAUAUCCAUCAAUUUCUUUCGGGUCAUCGAGGCAUCAUAAUAGUAUCAAAAUUUAGCCGCAUAUAUCAUAUAAUAUAUGAGUGACAAUUCAAAGUCUAGACUUGCACUCAAGAUGAUAAAAUCGCUGAGGCAUCCAAACACUUGCAACAUUUAUGGGACAAAUAUUAUCCAUCAAUUCCUUUCGGGUCAUCGAGGCAUCAUAAUAGUAUCAAAAUUUAGCAGCAUAUAUCAUAUAAUAUAUGAGUGACAAUUCAAAGUCUAGAAUUGCACUCAAGAUGAUAAAAUCACUGAGGCAUCCAAACAAUGGCAACAUUUAUGGGACAAAUAAUAAUCAUCAAUUCAUUUCGAGGCAUCAUAAUAGUAUCAAAAUUUAGGCUCAUAUAUCAUAUAAUAUGAGUGACAAUUCAUAGUCUAGAAUUGCACAAGGCCGAGACAUCCAAACACUUAACAGUUAUGAGACAAAUAAUAUCCAUUAAUUCCUUUCGGUCAUCGAGACAUUUAUUAAUCUAUAAAAAUUCAUAUCAAUAUCACAUUUUAGGCAUCGAGGCAUAAUGUUUGCUUUAGGGUCACUGAUGCAUCAAAAUACACACUUGCAACAUUUACGGGACAAAUAAUAUCCAUUAAUUCCUUUCGGGUCAUUGAGGCAUCAUAAUAGUUUUAAAGUUUAUGAGUGACAAUUCAUAGUCUAGACUUGCACUCAUGAUCAUAAAAUCACCAAAGCAUCCCAACAUUUACAAAAUUGAAUUGUUCAUAGUGUUUCCUGUAGGGUCAUCGAGGCAUCCAAACACUUGCAACAUUUUUAAAACAAACAAUAUCCAUUAAUUUCUUUUGGGUCAUCGGGCAUUAUGAAUGAAUAAAAAUUCAUAUCAAUAUCACAUUGAAGGCAACAAGGCAUAAUGUUUGCUUUAGGGUCAUCGAGGCAUCCAAACACUUGCAACAUUUACGGGACAAAUAAUUAAUAUCCAUCAAUUCUUUUCGGGUCAUUGAAGCAUCAUAAUAGUAUCAAAAUUUAGCCGCAUAUAUCAUAUAAUACAUGAGUGAAAUUUCAAAGUCUAUAAUUGCACUCAAGAUGAUAAAAUCACCGAGGCAUCCAAACACUUACAACAUUUAUGGGACAAAUAUUAUCCAUCAAUUCCUUUAUGGUCAUCGAGGCAUCAUAAUAGUAUCAAAAAUUAGGCCAAUAUAUCAUAUAAUAUGAGUGACAAUUCAAUAGUCUAGAAUUGCACUCAAGAUGAUAAAAUCACUGAGGCAUCCAAACACUUAACAUUUAUGGGACAAAUAAUAUCCUUCAAUUUCUUUCGGGUCAUCGAGACAUCAUAAUAGUAUCAAAAUUUAGCCGCAUAUAUCAUAUAAUAUAUGAGUGACAAUUCAAAGUCUAGAAUUGCACUCAAGAUGAUAAAAUCGCCGAGGUUACCAAACACUUGCAACAUUUAUGGGACAAAUAAUAUCCAUCAAUUCCUUUCGGGUCAUCGAGGCAUCAUAAUAGUAUCAAAAUUUGGCCCCAUAUAUAUAUAAAUAUGAGUGACAAUUCAAAGUCUAGAAUUGCACUCAAGAUGAUAAAAUCAUUGAGGCAUCCAAACACAUGCAACAUUUAUGGGAGAAAUAAUAUCCAUCAAUUCCUUUCGGGUCAUCGAGGGAUCAUAAUAGUAUCAAAAUUUAGGCCAAUUGAACUCCAUGAUUAAUCUGUGACUUAAGUUAUUAGAUCCAUAAAAGGUUCUAUGUGGAUAGGUUUAUUGUCUCAAGUUUGUGUUUGAAAUGCAAGAAACGUGCAAAGUUGAAUAAAUUGUAAAGAUAUAAGAACAUCAGUACUAAUGAUAAAAAAUGCAUAAAGGUGACAAGGAAAUGGUAUUCAAACUUGCAACAACCAAUUUUGUCAACGUAUGCGUUCUCUUGUAGAUAAAUUUACAAAACAAAAAUAACUCUUUAACUUGAAGAGCCAAUCACCUAUUUAUAGCAAAAUCAUGUAUGACAUAUGUCUUUCUAACUACUGAAAACCUUCUUUUACAUGUUUGCCCUUGCCUUUGAAUUGAAACUCUUGAUGGCUUUUACGCUUAUUUGUAUUUGUUGUAACCAACUCCUAAACCUCUCUUACAUGCUUCUGAUAAAGAAGUUUUUUUUUUUUUUUGAAAGAGAUAAAGAAGUUAUUUGGAUGUGAAUGACUUAUGCAUUGUUUGGGUCUGCAUUUAAAGCUAAAUUAUCGCGUCCGUAGGCAAUUUUGCCAUGAAAAUAGGAAGCUACAAAAUAUAGCAUCACAUUAACGCAUGAUCGGUGCACAUUUAGACGUGAAAACAAAAACAUACUCAGAUACUUAAAAUACCAUUAAAUAAGUCACCUUUUCGAGCACGGCUCUGACGAUCUUCGAGAAUGUCCUUUGAGUGUAAAUGCCACGUUAAAACAACACCUUUAUUUUUGAGUGUGCAAUUUCCAAGUAUAUUUCAAAUGCUCUUUGUUUGUCUAAACAACUGACUCGAAACUAACAUGCAAAUUUCACCUAGUAGUAUAACAAUGAGCACCACAUUAUUUAACAUGUCCACGAUAUAUGUGCUGAUGUGAACUUUUGCAUGUCUAAUAGUAAUAACAACCAUGUGGUAAGUGAAAGUGAUGAAUAUGUGAAUGAUUUAUCGUAUGGGAAACUAAAUUGAAUGAACUAUGAAAAGACAUUUUCUAGAAACACGAUAACCCAAACAUCGUUGUUUGUGGUCUUGUCCAGUGUUGCCCCUAUUAAUAGAAACAAUAUGUACCGUCAGAUCGUAACUGAGAAAGCACACGGAUAGUGUCUCGUAGCCGUUGGAUCUCUACCGACACGCUAUAUAUAUACGCCUUCACUUCUUCGCCUUUCGAAGUUUCAUAUUCUUUUCUCCAAAUUUCAGCUAACGAGUUUCUGAAGAGAAGAAGAAAGCGAAAAUUUCCAGGUUCGUUAUUUUUCUUCUGAAUUUACGAAAUCAGGGUUUAUAGCUUUUGUGUUUUUGAUCUUAAGCUUCCAUUUUUGUCUGAAUUUGAACUUAUUUUAGAUUUCGUUUUCAUUUUUCAUCUCCAAUUUACGAAAUUAGGGUUUACGAAUUCGGUAUACGUAUCUGGUUUCAUGUUUUUCUUCCUUUCUAAUUCGAAUGUUUAUUAUGUUGCAUUUUAUAUUAGAAUAAAUGAAUGCUAUUGUUCAAUAUCUUUUUAUCAAAAUUGUUUCUGGUUUCAUAUAUUCAUGUUUGAUUAUGGAGGAGAAGAAACCAAAAAAUUGUAUUUUUGUUACAUUCAUCCAUGUUUUAGGAAAAAGAAGUAGCAAUUGAAGCUCAGUUAGGCUAAUUUAUCUUAUUUUUAGGUUGAUUUGCUUGUGAUUAUUUGUUGAAGAUUAAGUUUUAGUUAUUAGGUUAAGCUAUGAUUUUAGGGGAAAUUGUUCUGAUUAUCUUGUUUGGGUUUUAAGUAGAUGGCACGUACCAAGCAAACUGCUCGUAAGUCAACAGGUGGAAAGGCACCAAGGAAGCAACUUGCAACCAAGGUUUGCUUUUAGUUGAUUAUCAUUAGAAAGACAAUGAUUUUAAUCUGUAUUAAGGCUGUUGAAUCUUAUGUUAAUGUUAUCUUGUUUUUCUGUUACCUUUAGGCUGCACGUAAGUCUGCACCAACUACUGGUGGAGUUAAGAAGCCACAUCGUUACCGCCCAGGAACUGUUGCUCUUCGGUGAGUUUCUGUUGAAAAUUUUCUUUUAGGGUUGUAAUUCAAUGUGUUCUGUUCAGUUUUGAUUUCAAUUUGCUUUAAUUGAAUUGAAUUGGUUUGGUUUCUAAUAAUUUGUCAUUUGGAUUGGUAUUUUAAAACAGUGAGAUUAGGAAGUACCAGAAGAGUACUGAGCUCUUGAUCAGGAAGCUCCCCUUCCAGAGGUUGGUUCGUGAAAUUGCUCAGGACUUCAAGGUAAUGUGUAGUUAAAGUGUGAGAUAUUGUGUAUUUGUGUUCACAAUCAGUUUAGUUAAGGUUGUGGUUUCUAAUAAUUUUGGUUUCGGUUGCAGACUGACCUUCGUUUCCAGAGUCAUGCUGUGCUUGCAUUGCAAGAGGCUGCUGAGGCAUAUCUUGUUGGUCUCUUUGAGGACACUAACUUGUGCGCUAUCCAUGCCAAGCGAGUUACUAUUAUGCCCAAGGACAUCCAGUUGGCAAGGAGGAUCCGUGGCGAGCGUGCCUAAGGAGGAUGCUGCUUUUGGUGCUGUUUAGAUGGGUGGCUGCUGAUAGUGUUUUGUUAUUGGAAAUGAUUUAGUUUAUAGGGAAUUACCGUUCAUUCGUAGUUUGAUUAAUUGUGGUGAUAGAAAUAUACUGCUAUCUGAAUUUUAGUUUUCGGGAUGUAAUUUGCUUGCAAUGACUUUGGAUCUUUUAUAUGUUCUUGUUUUUACUGGGUAUGCAGCCACUCUGUAUUCUAUUUUGUGGACAACCUUUUGUUGCCAUCUAAUCUAGUAUUUCUAGCUUCUGUGCAUAUUCUUUUGGAAUUGGGAAUAAUUUUUUAAAACAAGUGAUCUGCUUUGAAGUAGCUAAAAGCCGAUCUAAAAUGCUGUUUGAUAAAUAAUUUAAAUGGCUG
rnacentral:lncRNA from 1 species